rnacentral:rRNA from 1 species
AUACGUAGGUGACGAGCGUUGUUCGGAAUUAUUGGGCGUAAAGGGUUCGUAGGAUGUUUAUUAAGAUUGGUGUGAAAUCCCAAGGCUCAACCUUGGAACUGCAUUGAUUACUGAUGAACUAGAGUAUCGUAGAGGAAAGCGGAAUUCCAGGUGUAGCGGUGGAAUGCGUAGAUAUCUGGAAGAACACCGACAGCGAAGGCAGCUUUCUGGGCGAUAACUGACUCUGAGGAACGAAAGCAUGGGGAGCAAACAGGAUUAGAUACCCUGGUAGUCCAUGCCGUAAACGUUGUGUGCUUGGUCUGAGCGGAUUCAACCCUGUUCGGAUCGGAGUUAACAUGUUAAGCACACCGCCUGGGGACUACGGUCGCAAGACUAAA